rnacentral:rRNA from 1 species
ACUGUGAAGGAAAGGUGAAAAGGACCCCGGGAGGGGAGUGAAAGAGAACCUGAAACCCUGUGUUUACAAACUGUGGGAGCACGUUAAGGUGCGACCGCGUACUUUUUGUAGAACGGUCCGGCGAGUUGCCGGUGCUGGCGAGGUUAAAUGGUAGAGCCAUGGAGCCGAAGGGAGACCAAGUCUCAAAUGGGCGUAAAGUCAGCACAGGCAGACCCGAAACCGGGUGACCUAUCCAUGUCCAGGAUGAAGCGGAAGUAAAAUUCCGUGGAGGUCCGGAUCCACAUCCGUUGAAAAGGGUGGGAAUGAGGUGUGGAUAGGGGAGAAAUUCCAAUCGAACCCGGAGAUAGCUGGUUCUCCUCGAAAUAGCUUUAGGGCUAGCCCCGUAUUAGUUUAGCGGAGGUAGAGCACUGAAUUCCUAAGGGGGCGUCAAAGCUUACCAAGGGAUAUCAAACUCCGAAUGCCGCAUAAAUGAUGUACGGGAGUCAGACUGCACGAGAUAAGUUGGGCAGUCAAAAGGGAAAGAGCCCAGACCUACAGCUAAGGUCCCAAAGUGUGUGUUAAGUGGAAAAGGAUGUGGGAUUUCAGAGACAACUAGGAUGUUGGCUUAGAAGCAGCCACACAUUCAAAGAGUGCGUAAUAGCUCACUAGUCGAGAGGUCCUGCGCCGAAAAUGUCCGGGGCUGAAACACAACACCGAAGCUUAGGAAUGUAGUGAUACAUUGGUAGAGGAGCAUUCUUAAAGGGAAGAAGCAGUACCGACAAGGAGCUGUGGACAUUUAAGAAGAGAGAAUGCCGGAAUGAGUAGCGAGAUGGAGGUGGGAAUCCUCCAGGCCGAAUAUCCAAGGUUUCCAGAGUAAAGCUGAUCUGCUCUGGGUAAGUCGGGGCCUAAGGUAAGGCUGAGAAGCGUAGCCGAUGGACAACAGGUUGAGAUUCCUGUACCGCGUAUCAUCAGAACUGUGGGGACACAGAAGGACAGCACAGCCCGGGAAUGGAAAGACCGGGGCAAGCAGGGUAGGAGUCAAGCUGGCAAAUCCGCUUGACGAUCCGAAGCUGUGAUGCGGAGCGAAUAUAAGUAGUGAAGUGUGUGAUUCCGGCUGUCAAGAAAAGCCGCUAUCGUGUGAUACGUGCCCGUACCGUAAACCGACACAGGUAGAUGAGGAGAGAAUCCUAAGGCCGGCGGGAGAAGCAUUGUUAAGGAACUCGGCAAAAUGACCCUGUAACUUCGGGAGAAAGGGUGCCUGGGAAACCAGGCCGCAGAGAAUAGGCUCAAGCAACUGUUUAGCAAAAACACAGGUCUAUGCAAAACCGUAAGGUGAGGUAUAUGGGCUGACGCCUGCCCGGUGCUGGAAGGUUAAGAGGAGGGGUUAGCGCAAGCGAAGCUCUGAAUUGAAGCCCCAGUAAACGGCGGCCGUAACUAUAACGGUCCUAAGGUAGCGAAAUUCCUUGUCGGGUAAGUUCCGACCCGCACGAAAGGCGUAAUGAUUUGAGCGCUGUCUCGACAAUGCAUCCGGUGAAAUUGAAGUACCAGUGAAGAUGCUGGUUACCUGCGCCAGGACGGAAAGACCCCAUGGAGCUUUACUCCAGCUUGAUACUGGGAUUCGGUACUGCAUGUACAGGAUAGGUGGGAGACUGAGAAACUUGGACGCCAGUCUGAGAUGAGUCGCUGUUGGGAUACCACCCCUGCGGUAUUGGAUUUCUAACCUGCAGCCGUGAACCGGCUGGGGGACAAUGUCAGGCGGGGAGUUUGACUGGGGCGGUCGCCUCCGAAAGGGUAUCGGAGGCGCUCAAAGGUUCCCUCAUAAUGGUUGGAAACCAUUAGAAGAGUGCAAAGGCAUAAGGGAGCUUGACUGCGACACCGACGGGUGGAGCAGGUAGGAAACUAGGACUUAGUGAUCCGGUGGUAUGAAAGUGGGAUUGCCAUCGCUCAACGGAUAAAAGCUACCCUGGGGAUAACAGGCUUAUCACUCCCAAGAGUUCACAUCGACGGAGUGGUUUGGCACCUCGAUGUCGGCUCAUCGCAUCCUGGGGCUGUAGCAGGUCCCAAGGGUUGGGCUGUUCGCCCAUUAAAGCGGUACGCGAGCUGGGUUCAGAACGUCGUGAGACAGUUCGGUCCCUAUCCGGCGUGGGCGUAGGAUAUUUGAGAGGAGCUGUCCUUAGUACGAGAGGACCGGGAUGGACGGGCCGCUGGUGUACCUGUUGGAGUGCCAACUCCAUGGCAGGGUAGCCAAGCCCGGACGGGAUAAACGCUGAAGGCAUCUAAGCGUGAAGCCCCCCUCAAGAUGA